AUGCAGAUCAAAGACAUUUAUUUCAAAAAUGUGAAGAAAAAUUUGGGAGAUGGUAAAAAUACUCGUUUCUGGGAGGACUGGUGGGUGGGAUCUAAACCUCUAAAAGAGGCCUACCCAAGCUUAUAUUUCAUUAAUUUGACCCCUGACAUUUUAGUGGUUGAGGCCAUUUAUAUGGGGUGGGCUGGGUUCAAAUUCAGAAGGAAUUUAACUGCUGAUAAGCAUACUUUGUGGGAUAGUCCGAGAGCUAAGUGUGAGAGGGUGAGAAUGUAUGAGGGCAAAGAUCAGCCACAAUGGAUGCUGACAGCCAAUAGACAAUUCUCAGUUAGAUCACUCUAUCACUCCUUGAUCAAAACUGAGGUGGGAUUCCCACACAAAUUCCUUUGGAAUAUAAAAAUUCCAGCAAAAAUUAAAAUGUUUUUCUGGCUCAUUGCUAGGAAAAGUGUGUUGACUAAGGAUAACCUAAUUAAAAAAAGGAGGAGAGGGAGACAGGGUUGUGUCUACUGUGGACAAGAUGAAACCAUAGAUCACCUGUUAUUUACUUGCUCUGCUGCUAGACUCUUGUGGUGCUUAAUAAAACAUCUCCAAAAGGAAUAG
rnacentral:rRNA from 1 species